AACAGGGAAAAAAGGAUCAUAAUCAUCAUCAAAACUGACCAUAGUUUCCUUUUGGUUUUUCACUUACAAUUUUUAGACUAAUAAACCAGAAACCCUCUAUGCAUUAGUUUUUCAAAUUUUUAUAGGUUUAAAACUGAACUUCUUUUUUAAUAUUUUUCAAAGUUUCUAUCAUUAUUAUUUUCACUAUCAUUUUUCAAUCACUAAAUAAUU
rnacentral:lncRNA from 1 species